UUUUUUUCUCUUCCUAGCAAUUCUAUUAUUAUCUACUUAAUAGCAAAAGUGGCCUUUUGUCAUUUUAAAGAGACAUGCAUUUUUAAUGGACCAAAGGUCAUAUAACUGACUUUCCUGCCUUUCAAUAGAUGCACUUUAAGUUUUAAAUUUGGUUAAGAUGAAUUGAACAUCAAGUACUGUGAAGAAAUUCCACCUUCAGAGUCUCACUUAAACCAUGCCUUUGAAACUGUGAGGUAGGUAUUACUGGUUUUGUAUUUAGGUUGCAUAUCUAUCACAGUGUGAAGGAUACAGACCUAUUAUUCAAUGAUGAGAAGUUUCUGAUUAUAGGAGUUUUCUAAAGAUGCAUACCUUAAUAUGUUAGAAAAUAUCCAGACACUAAUAAAGAAACUUGAAGCAAAUAAAUAUUCCCAAAUAUUUUGCUUAAUUUUAUGGUAUUUUAACCAACUUAACCUUUAAAAGUUUUUAAAUCUUAAUUUCAAAAUAAUUUUCUGAUAUGCCAUUCUACUUAUUAAAUACUCAUAGUUAUGUACCAUUUGUAUUUGAUCACUAAUAGAGCAACAGAUAGAAUAACUAACUUAAAACAUCAAUAAUGGCUAUGAAUUUAUAGAAACAAAAAACAAAACUCAUUGUCUUUAAAAUUCAGUUGCAUUUUUUUUUGACAUGCUACUGGGCAGAGGAAUGUGUCUGAGCUUCAAGUCAAGAAAUAGGAUUGAAAUUCAUUGUGUUUAGCUGGAUGUUUGUGCCUUCUUUCCCCAUCUACUGUGCAUUGAUUCCAUGAGUGAUGGUUAAUAAGUGAACAAAGACUCAUAGUGACACUUGUAUCUUUACACUGAUAAAAGUAUAUUCAGAGUAAUUGAAUAAUUGUGCACAAUACUUAAAUAAUUGACCUUUUUCCUCCUUCUCCUUUCUGAAAUACUGCAUAGCAUUUACGUUAAUUCACAGUACAAACCCUGAUCAGUUCUGGUCCUGGACUUUUGUAAGUUCUGGUAACAUAUUCAUGAAUAACUUUCUCAACCGGCAAAUACUGUGAUAACUCACACUAGGCAUUUAUUGAUUCCUUAUCAUUCAAAAGAUUGUGAGACAGGAAAAGAGUUCACAAUGAAAAAAAAAUUAUUGCCCUGAAUUGUUUUGGUGGUUAGAACUAUCUAAAUUUAAAAGCCCAGCUCAAUCUUUUGUAACAAAUAUCCAUAUUAGAAUUGGAUGCCUUUCAAAAGAAAAGUAGAACUUUAGGGGCUGGCAUAGUGCCCAGCACAGAACACAUUUACAGUAGAAUAUUAGGUUGAUUGGAAGUAUAUAAUCUCUGCAGCCCAAACUAUCUCACUGUCUUAACCUAUAAAUUCAGUACAAAACAUUUGAAGGGAUCAUUGGCCCCUUAGGAUCAAGGAACAGCUACAAAUUGAAAGCAGUAAACUAUAAAUAAGUUCAGGACAGACUACAUUUUGGAAUCUAGAUAACAAGCAUAUGUGAUUAUAUAGAAAAGGCAGGGUAAAACGUGAUUCUUAUGGUAAGUGGGAACUUUUCCCUCGUUGACAUUUAAAAAUACAUAGUGCUGUUCUCUUCACUGAAAUAGACACUGGAAUGGAAACUGCCCAAACUCCUUCAUGUAGAAAAGAAGGCAAAUGCUGAAAGCAGCCUCUUACCCUGUGCUUUGCAAGUUUUGUAUAUCUGGCGUGAUGUGCACUGAGUGAGAUGUCAUAUGUAUUGAUGUUUACUGAGCAGCGGGGUGCCCUGUGUCCUACCACAGUGCACAGGGACACAAGCAUAGCUUAUGCUUGAAUAUUCCAAGUAAUUUGUUAGACGAGUCAUGUGGAUCUUUAUCUAAUAUAAAGUUAAUUCUUUUAUACAUUCACACACACACACACACACACACACACACACACACACACACACACACACACAUACACAGAGAUUUCUGUAACCAGAUUUUUGCACAGUGGGUUGCAAUAUUGUAAUUCCUCAUUCAUGAGCCAUGUGUUGGAAUUAUGGUAGUUGAAUUAUCAAAGUGAUCUUGCAGCUUGAAUGCCACUGGCAUUGUAUUUGAAAUAAGAACCAAAAUAAAACUAUAAUCAUAUUUGUUUCCUUUAGGGAAAAUGGUGAUAUUACCCUGUAGGUGGUACAAUAGAUGUUAGUUAGUGGCUUGGAGCUAUUGUUUUUAUAUUGUAUGUAACUAUGAAGUAUUGGGUACUCAAAAGACGCAUUAAUUCUGAUGAAUCCUCAUCUUAUACACUCACUGUAUACCACUCACCCUCCCUAGCAGAAAGGAAAUGCUGGGGAAAAAAAAGUCAAAUGAUUUGUCAAUACCAAAAUACAGUGACCAAGAACACAGAUCCAUAUUCCAAGGUACUAAGUAGUUUCAUGAAAUUUUAAUAAUUACAGAACAAAGGAAGUCAUAAAUCAAGGCAUUGUUGGAAUAAAUUGGUGGAAACAUUAAGUAAGUAGAUUCUCAAAAAGUAAGAAAUCUCAGCACUAGGCUUUAGAAGUGGCUUGAUGUCACUCGGAGCCUUUUAGCUCAAGCAAGCUAGUGUGUUCCUAAUUUGUAUAUUUUAAAAAAGCUUUCCAAAGGCCAUGAAGUUGUUGAGCUACAUAUAAUGAUGAAGAGUGGAUUAUUUUUUAAAGGACUAAAAAUAGCCCAGUAUAAAUUGUACGAUGACUCUGAACCUAAUAAAUUAAUUUUUGAAGGACUAAAAAAAACCAUUAUAAAUUAUAAGACAGACCUGUUCAAAUUAUCAACCAUCAUUAAAGUUCUAGUUUAAAUACUCGUUUGUAAAAUUCAAUGAAGGAUAAUUUUCCUAAAAACUACUUUCAUUCACAGACUUCAAAAUUUUGGCAUAUUUUGCCUAUUUUAAACUGUCAAUUUCUCAUAAGAAGGAUUUAGAACUUAGAAAAAUAAACUGUAAGAAAUAUAAUCUGGUUAGGAUUCCUAUUUACCACAACAGUCCAGCCAAUGCAAGUACUUAUUUUCUACCAUCUAUCUUAAUCCUAAUGUUUCCACUAUUGUCUCAUUCAUUUAUGUAUUUAUUUCUUUGUUUAUUAUUUGUUCAUUGACUUCUCAUAGACUUAGAAGACAAUUAUUAUGAUGUUACUGCUUUGUUGAAUGAAAGGACUUGAAAAGAGAGGAGAGAAAAAGAGAGAGAGAGACAGACAGACAGACAGCGAGGAUACAAGUUUUAGACAAUUGUCCUUCUUUUUUCCCAGAGCCUUUACCCACCUGUCUACAAGGACAACGGGAGUAGAAUAGAACAGGGUUCAGAUAGGCAAAAGUACUAUGAAGCACUUAUCUCCAAUAUCAGCUUCAAAGGGGCAGCUCAAUUUUAACUGGGGUGGAUCAAGGGCUACAUAGUUUUGGGGGAAGAGAGUAUGGAUUUGUAGAUUGAGAAAUUGGCUAUAGGUUAGAGUACCAGAUGAUGCCUAGUUUGCAUGGAAAGGCAUUCCAGGAAUCUCAGAACCUUGCUGGACAAGUUUUUAUCCAGAGAAAGGAAACUGAACCUGUAAUCUCACCAAGGCCAUGAGACAUUCCACAGGGAGAGGGUGUGGGGGUUUCUAAAUUCCACAGACAGGACAGAAAAGAAAAACCUCUGCAGAUAAAGAUAGUGCUCCAUUCUGUGCCAAGGUCAAGUGAGCUUCCAGGACAAUGGUAGGCAUGGACUUUAAUCAGCAGGACCCAACAACAGACUAUUCUGACUUUUAUUUUCAUUAGUCACUGUGAGGAAGAUCCACAAAACUUUUUUAUGACAUCUUCACGGACCAUAAAAUAAAUAAUGUAGAGGUAGGUGACAGAAUCGGGAUUAACAAUAUAUCUGAGUGAGUAGGAUUUCUAAGAAGAAACAAAUGAAUAAAACAAAAUAAAAACAGUUUGUACGUAUAAUUCAACACAAGUGUUAAUACCAGAGAAUAUUAGAAAAUACAUUUGACUCAGCUUUUUUGAAUAUAAAAGGAUAAUAAAAUUUGCAGAGUGUAAUUUAUGAUAAUAUACCUGAUGAUAUUUAGAUUGGCCCAAAAUAAUAUUCUCUUUAGCAAGGGAAGAAACUUUCAGCCUCAAAUAGAAGGAAUUUUACUUAAUGACUAUCUACAUUAAGAUGGGGCUUGCUAGGAAGGUAAGUGUGUUUAACUAUUGAAAUAAAGCAUUCAAGGAUGCACUGGUGAUGCUGGACAAACACCAAAAGAUGAACUUAAACACAUCGUCACUGAUAUUGCAUGUCCAAUAUCAGUGCAGCACGUAAAUAUGAGCUGUUCUCGAGAAAUACCGGAAAGCUUGGAGAGACACUGUAGCUGUAGUUACGUUUGUUUUUAUUUAUUUUUCUUUACGUCUUCAGAUAUUACAAAGAUUGCCUAAGGGAAGUAGUGUAAACUGAUGUGUCACUCAACCAGUGCUGAGUCAGCAAGGAAAAGCUUGCCACAUUAAUAGAAAAGUCCUUAGAACAAGGAAUGGGUUCCUCAGUGAAGCAGGGUGGCUUGGCAAAGUGUGAGCUGCUUCUCUGGGAAAAGCACUGCUCAUACUCAAAGAUAAAAUAUCCUUUGACGUUCACUAUUCUUGCCAUUUGGAGCUUAAGACUUUAUAUUUAAAAUACAGGAGAAGCAAAGUAAAAAUUAUAUGUAACGUAUAUUUGAAAGAUGGGCAGAAGUAUCUUCGGUGGUAAAAAGAGAGUAGUUAUUUCACAUAAGGGGAUGAGGAAUGUAUAAGUGAGCAAUGAAACAGAAAUGGCCGGUUGGGUUGGGUUUAAGUAUGAACC
rnacentral:lncRNA from 1 species